GGUGCCGGCGGCCCGGGUUAUGCGUGGGUCAGGAGGCUGGCGCGGCCGUGGGAAGCCCCGCCGGGCGGGCCUGGGCGAGCGCUGCCCCGUGCGCGCCCUAAAGGAAGGUGCCACCCAGCCUUGUUUGCUGUUGUGCAACAGAAAACUUAACAACUCCAUCCUUUCAGUGUGCAGAUAAAAUAGGAUGAAGAAAACAAAAAGACAGACUAUCUUGACACAGAUCUGUGGUACAACCUCAAGCAGACUGCUGUGGUAGAGCCAUCUACAGCCAUCUCAAAGAGACUGGGAACUUCAGAGAAUUCAAAGAAAAGCAACAAGUAGGAUCAAGAGCAUGGCAAUUCAUGAAAGAUUGAAAAGAUUUGGAUUAUUAUCUUCAGAGAAAAACAGUGGAGAGACAAUAAAAGUACAUGAAGUCAUGUCUGGUACAGACUGAUCAGGAGGUUCUCUUUUUCCUGUCUCGUACUGUAGAAUAAAGGGACUUUCUGUGAACUAUCAAACUAAAGGUAGGAUAUUUAAAACUGAAAAAUAAAAACUAAUAAAAAAAAAAAGAAAACCACAA